AUGCUUCUCUCCAGCCUUCUGAAGGUGGUCGUGGCUUCACUGUGUUUCGGUAAGGAUGGAUCCAGUAUUACCCAGAAAGUAACUCAAGACCAACCACCAAUGUCAGUGCAGGAGAAAGAAACUGUGACCCUGAACUGCACAUACGACACCAGUGGUACAGCUCACAGUCUGUUCUGGUACAAGCAACACAGCAGUGGGGCGAUGACCUUCCUCAUUCGCCAGGACUCUUAUAACAAGCAAAAUGCCACAGAAGGCCGCUACUCAUUAAAUUUCCAGAAGGCAAGCAGAUUCAUCAAACUUACCAUCUCAGCCUCACAGCUGGAGGACUCUGCAGUGUAUUUCUGUGCACUGAGGGAGCCCACAGUGAGAGGCGUGCGGGAGGGACCUGCACCAAAACCCAGAGUUCUAAUGAUACACCCACCUGCGGUAGGACCAGGGUGGGGAAUUGCCUUCACAGACAGGAAGUGGUUAGCACUGCGGCAGCACAGGUGUAGGUUUAGAGGGGAAACACUUACUCUAAGAAAGUAUUUCUCUAGGUUCAUAGACCAUGUCUAG